rnacentral:lncRNA from 12 species
AACUCCGUAUGUGUAGCUCAUGUAUUUGGGCAUCUUAUUGCUGGAACAGGAGUUAGAAUGACAGUGACUUUUAUCUUUCUCAGAAAAGCUCAACUUUAAGUACCUGCCAUAUGCCCGGCCCUGUAACAGGGGACAGAAACAGAAGUAAGGCCCAACUUCUGCUCUCGAGGAGUGACCACUAAGUGGGGGGAGUUAGAGAGCUAUGUGGAAGCUAAGGAAAAUGCUAUAGGAAAAACACAAGGAUAGUGCCUGAGAUUUCAAAGGAGGCAAAGCACCUAUCAGGUUAGAGAUAUUACAAAAGACUUUAUUCAUUCAUCCCUGCAUUCACUCAAUGAAAAAUAUUUAUUGGAUGCCUAUUAUAUGUUGGGCACUAAACUAGCUAUGAAGAACAAGAGAUAAAUGGGCCAAUAUUCCUAACCUCCAAGACUUAAUAAUAAAGUGGGAGGGACAUACUAUAUCAUUCAUCCAUUCAUUGAUUUAUUCAACAUUCACUGAGUGUUAAGUCCCAAGUUCAAGGAUGAAAGAAGCAUGCUCCCUCUGGUAAAAGAACCCGUAGUCUAGUUCAGGAGAUAGGUGUAUAAAUGAAACUUUUAACAUACCUAACAUGGCACCUAACACAGUGUAUUGAAAUUUCUCAAAGUCCCCAGGCAGAUGGUGAGGGGGCAGUUACUUCUUUUUGGGGUUAGGGAAGGCUUCUGAGGGAAAAACAAUGGAGGGGGUACCUAGAAGAUGAAGGACUUUGCCAGGUAGUUGUACAGUGGAGGGAGGUAGAGUGUCUGAGGCGGCUCGUACACGUAACUAGAAUAAGAAGCAAGAAUAGAGACGUGUUGGAACAGAGGCCAGUUUGUGGAGGGCUUUUAAGCACUGUGGCUGGGAGAAUGGAAUGUCAAGGUGCAAUGACUGCUCAGAGGAUCAGUUUUCAGGUGACAGUGACCGAUGUUUAGUCUCACUUAUUUUCUCUGAUGACUCAACACAGUAAAUAAGACGGUCUGUUUGGAAAAGCCCUGCAGUAAAUCAUCCUGAAAAAGUAAAAGCUUAUUUAUUGAUUUGAUAACUUUUCUAUUUUACUCUUCUAGCUUUAUAUUUUGUAAUAAAGCGUCUUUAAAAUGUAGCA